CGGAGGAAAAGAAACUAACAAGGAUUCCCCUAGUAACUGCGAGUGAAGCGGGAAAAGCUCAAAUUUAAAAUCUGGCGGUCUUUGGCCGUCCGAGUUGUAAUUUAGAGAAGCGUCUUCCGCGCCGGACCGUGCACAAGUCUCCUGGAAUGGAGCGUCAUAGAGGGUGAGAAUCCCGUCUUUGGCACGGAUGCCUGGUGCUUCUGUGAUGCGCUCUCGAAGAGUCGAGUUGUUUGGGAAUGCAGCUCAAAAUGGGUGGUGAACUCCAUCUAAAGCUAAAUAUUGGCGAGAGACCGAUAGCGAACAAGUACCGUGAGGGAAAGAUGAAAAGCACUUUGGAAAGAGAGUGAAACAGUACGUGAAAUUGUUGAAAGGGAAACGCUUGAAGUCAGUCGCGUCGACCGAGACUCAGCCUUGCCUCGGCUUGGUGUACUUCUCGGCCCGACGGGUCAGCGUCAAUUUUGCUCCUCGGAUAAUGGCAAGGGAAAGGUGGCACCUUUAUGGGUGUGUUAUAGUCUCCUGUCGCAUGCGAGGGGUGGGAUUGAGGAACUCAGCGCGCACCUUGGUGUCGGGGCUUCGGCCCACGUCACGCGCUUAGGAUGCUGGCGUAAUGGCUUUAAACGACCCGUCUUGAAACACGGACCAAGGAGUCCAACACGCCCGCGAGUGUUCGGGUGGAAAACCCGUGCGCGUAAUGAAAGUGAAAGUUGGGACCUCUGUCGUGGAGGGCACCGACGCCCGGACCAGACCUUCUGUGACGGAUCUGCGGUAGAGCGUGUGUGUUGGGACCCGAAAGAUGGUGAACUAUGCCUGAAUAGGGUGAAGCCAGAGGAAACUCUGGUGGAGGCUCGUAGCGAUUCUGACGUGCAAAUCGAUCGUCAAAUUUGGGUAUAGGGGCGAAAGACUAAUCGA
rnacentral:rRNA from 1 species